rnacentral:rRNA from 1 species
GACGAACGCUGGCGGCGUGCUUAACACAUGCAAGUCGAGCGGUAAGGCCCUUUCGGGGGUACACGAGCGGCGAACGGGUGAGUAACACGUGGGUGACCUGCCCUCAGCUCUGGGAUAAGCCUGGGGAAACCGGGUCUAAUACUGGAUAUGACUCCAUGACGCAUGUUGUGGGGUGGAAAGCCUUGUGCGGCUGAGGAUGGGCCCGCGGCCUAUCAGCUUGUUGGUGGGGUGANGGCCUACCAAGGCGACGACGGGUAGCCGGCCUGAGAGGGCGACCGGCCACACUGGGACUGAGACACGGCCCAGGACUCCUACGGGAGGCAGGCAGUGGGGAAUCUUGCGCAAUGGGCGAAAGCCUGACGCAGCGACGCCGCGUGAGGGAUGACGGCC